rnacentral:rRNA from 1 species
GACGAACGCUGGCGGCGUGCUUAACACAUGCAAGUCGAGCGGUAAGGCCCUUUCGGGGGUACACGAGCGGCGAACGGGUGAGUAACACGUGGGUGACCUGCCCUCAGCUCUGGGAUAAGCCUGGGAAACUGGGUCUAAUACUGGAUAUGACUCCACGGUGCAUGUCGUGGGGUGGAAAGCCUUGUGCGGCUGAGGAUGGGCCCGCGGCCUAUCAGCUUGUUGGUGGGGNGAUGGCCUACCAAGGCGACGACGGGUAGCCGGCCUGAGAGGGCGACCGGCCACACUGGGACUGAGACACGGCCCAGGACUCCUACGGGAGGCAGCAGUGGGGAAUCUUGCGCAAUGGGCGAAAGCCUGACGCAGCGACGCCGCGUGAGGGAUGACGGCCU